AUUGAACGCUGGCGGUAUGCUUAACACAUGCAAGUCGAACGGUAACAGGCCUUCGGGCGCUGACGAGUGGCGGACGGGUGCGUAACGCGUAAGAAUCUGCCGAUUAGUGGGGGACAACGUGGGGAAACUCACGCUAAUACCGCAUACGCCCUACGGGGGAAAGCGGGGGACCUUCGGGCCUCGCGCUAAUCGAUGAGCCUGCGUUGGAUAGCUAGUGGGUAGGGUAAAGGCCUACCAAGGCGACGAUCCAUAGCUGGUCUGAGAGGACGAUCAGCCACACUGGGACGGAGACACGGCCCAGACUCCUACGGGAGGAAGCAGUGGGGAAUAUUGGACAAUGGGCGCAAGCCUGAUCCAGCAAUACCGCGGGUGUGAAGAAGGCCUGAGGGUUGUAAAGCACUUUUAAUGGGGAGGAAUACCUGCCGGCGAAUACCCGGCAGCAUGACAUUACUCAUAGAAAAAGCACCGGCUAACUCCGUGCCAGCAGCCGCCGUAAAAC
rnacentral:rRNA from 1 species